rnacentral:rRNA from 1 species
CCCUUAGAUGUUCUGGGCUGCACGCGCGCUACACUGAUGCGUUCAACAAGUUGGACCUCGUCCGAGAGGAAAUCGGGGGAAUCUUUUGAAAACGUAUCGUGAUAGGGAUAGAUUAUUGUAAUUAUUAAUCUUCAACGAGGAAUUCCUAGUAAGCAUGAGUCAUCAGCUCGUGCUGAUUACGUCCCUGCCCUUUGUACACACCGCCCGUCGCUCAUACCGAUUGAGUGAUCCGGUGAAUUAACCAGAUUGUGGCGAGGGUAGUUUUCUGCUAUUGCUACGAAAAGGUUUGUGAACCUUAUCACUUAGAGGAAGGAGAAGUCGUAACA